rfam:Gossypium hirsutum cultivar TM-1 scaffold4537.1_1, whole genome shotgun sequence
UAUUAAAAUUUUAAUCCAUUUGUAUUGUUAAAAACUGUCGUGGUUGACGGAAUAACCAGAUAAUGACACAUGGUAUGUCACGUAUACCUCAUGUUGAUGUAAAUGGACCAAUUUUUAACAGAUAAAAUGGAUAGAAUUUUUAACA